rnacentral:tRNA from 1 species
UCUCCAAUAGCUCAGCUCAGUUGGUAGAGCAGAGGACUGUAGAUCCUUAGGUCGCUGGUUCAACUCCGGCUCGAAGGA